AGGUCAGCCCUUCCUAUCUCGUAAUGACACCUGUGCACCUCCAUCCUUUUGAAAGGAGAGAGCCUAGUGAGCUGAUUCCAAGGUCAGGAGAGUGGAAGUUAAAAGAGCCUAAAGGGGACACUUUCCUGCCAUCAAUCCCAUGGCCGUGUGAGCAGAGCUUCCUGUCAGCCCGAGGUUUGACUGAAGUGGCUUUAAAGGUAACAGAGGAUUUUUCUGGGGCAUCUGCUGAAGGGGACAAGUCAUGGAAAGUGCUCAGUACUCAGAACAUCCCCAGCACCUGGAGGCCAGCAUUAGUCUUGACAGAAGUAAUGGGGAUUCUCCAUCCAGUGCGUGAGACCGAAGGAAGAGAAAGAACUCGGAGAACUCAGUUAUUCCAGCUCCAUUGCUGCAAAUGCAGAAGGAGUUAAGAAUUACAGAGAUGUCUGGCUCAGAAAUUUCCUUUCUCUAAAAUAGCUAUUUUAAAAAAAAAAGGCUGGGAGAAAUUUAGUUGUAUAUGUGUUUGUGCAUUUUUUACUGUCUACUCCCACUCAUCACAUAUAC
rnacentral:lncRNA from 1 species